rnacentral:misc_RNA from 1 species
GAGGACGCCAAUCGCAAAGGUUAGAUUUUUGCUCGUUGUUAAAUGUUAAUGGUUUUGAUUUUGUGUUUGCAUUAUAUUCUAGGUUCGCCAUUAAACCUUGUGAUUAUGGUUGACAGUCUUGCUACUUUCUUUGGCUUGAACUUGGGUUUGUUACAUGAUUGUUUAAGGUUUUAUUUUUUCAGUUUUUUUUGGAUGGUUGGAUUGCUUAUUGGUGUGUGGAUGUUUUGAUAAGGCUUUUGAAGAUGACGAAUGUCUUAAGUGAUGGAGAGUGCUUUGUUAUGAAUUAUAAGAAUCGUGCAUCCAGUUGACAUAAUUAGAUAAUUAUGCUAAUUAUCACAACAAACUUGGUUUUCUUGAGGUUCUGCUUAUGGUAAUGAGCAUGGUUAUCCCUAUUAAAACAUACACGUCAUGCUAAAAUGAGGAUUAUUAUCCGAGGUGGUCUAAUUGUAUUGGCAUGACAUUUAAGAGCGAUGUAGAUUUUU